UGGGGAAUAUUGCACAAUGGGCGAAAGCCUGAUGCAGCGACGCCGCGUGAGGGAAGAAGGUCUUCGGAUUGUAAACCUUUGUCUUUGGGGAAGAAAAAAGACGGUACCCAAGGAGGAAGCCACGGCUAACUACGUGCCAGCAGCCGCGGUAAUACGUAGGUGGCAAGCGUUGUCCGGAAUUACUGGGUGUAAAGGGAGCGUAGGCGGGCAGACAAGUCAGAUGUGAAAGGCGGGGGCUCAACCCCCGAGCUGCAUUUGAAACUGUAGGUCUUGAGUGAAGUAGAGGCAAGCGGAAUUCCUAGUGUAGCGGUGAAAUGCGUAGAUAUUAGGAGGAACACCGGUGGCGAAGGCGGCUUGCUGGGCUUUUACUGACGCUGAGGCUCGAAAGCAUGGGGAGCAAACA
rnacentral:rRNA from 1 species